rnacentral:lncRNA from 1 species
CGGCCGCAUGUUUCUGCAGGACCUGCGUGGCCACGUGGAGCUGUCGGAGGCGAAGCUGCGGGCCGUGCUGAGGCGCGCGGGCCCAGAGCGCUUCCUGCUGCAGGAGGUGGAGCUGCGCGACGGCCCGUGGGACCCUGAGGCCGAGGUGGCGGCGGGCUCGGGCUCGGGCUCGGGCUCGGGCUCAGGCGGUGGCGCCACGGCCUGCAGGGUGAUGGCCGUGUCCUCCGCGCGCCUCUGCGCCCGCUACCAGCGCGGGGAGUGCCAGGCCUGCGACCAGCUGCACUUGUGUCGCCGCCACAUGCUGGGCAAGUGCCCCCACCGCGACUGCUGGUCUACCUGCUCUCUGUCCCAUGAUAUCCACACACCUGUCAACGUCCAAGUCUUGAAAAACCAGGGCCUUUUUGGCCUCAAUGAAGCCCAGCUUCGAAUCUUGCUUUUGCAGAACGACCCCUGCCUUUUCCCAGAGGUCUGUUUACUGUACAACAAAGGUGGUGAUGUCCUUUAUGGCUACUGCAACCUCAAGGAUAAGUGCAACAAGUUUCACGUA